GAUGAACGCUGGCGGCGUGCCUAACACAUGCAAGUCGAACGGAGUCCAGCCUUUAAGACCUUCGGGUCAAUGACGGGUAGACUGAUUGGCUUAUGUGCGAGUAACACGUGGGCAACCUGGCUCAAUGCGGUGUAUACCCGAGAGAAAUUUCUUCUAAUACCGCAUAAUCACACACUGCUGCAUUGCCGAGGUGGAAAAGUGAAUCGCUAUCAGAUCGACCCGCGUCGGAUUAGCCAGUUGGCAGGGUAAGAGCCUACCAACGCGACGAUCACUAGCCGAUCUGAGAGGAUGAACGGCCACAUUGGGACUGAGACACGGCCCAAACUCCUACGGGAGGCAGCAGUGGGGAAUAUUGGACAAUGGGGGGAGGCCUGAUGCAGCGACGCCGCGUGAGUGAAGAAGGAUUUAGGUAUGUAAAGCUCUAUCAGCAAGGAAGAUAAUGACAGUAGCUGAAUAAGAAGCCCCGGCUAACUACGUG
rnacentral:rRNA from 1 species